rnacentral:tRNA from 1 species
AGGGCUUUAGUUUAGUUAAAACAUUUGACUUGCACUCAGAAGAUGCGGAGUAAUAUCUGUAAGUCCUA